GAUUUCAGCCCGUGAUUCCAACCAUCUCCGCUCACUUUUUGGGGUUGGUCCAAGAACAAAAAUUGCUCCAAUCAAUGUCCUGAUCAUGUAGGUAUAAGUCUUGAUCGAUGGUUUGGAGAUUUUUCGAUCAGCGGAAUCGCUUUGGUCACCCACGCGCUGCAGCGCGUGGGCCACUUUUUGGUUGGUGAUUAGGUCCUAAAAUAAUCCCCAUGUCAUCCCGAACACAACGACAGUAGUUGAUUGAGCUGAGCAGCAGAGCUGAGCCCUGAGCUUCCGAAUCUCGAGCUUCAGUAGGAUAAGCUUUGUUUCAUUUCUGUCCUGUUAAACUUUAUUAUCGUUUGUAAACCGAAACUCUUAGAUUGAUCUGUUAUCGCCCAUACUAAGGUUUGAUGAUGAGGCCGGAGGCCAUCUAUGUAAACUGUAUAAGUUAUCUUAUGCAUGCUGCCAGUUGGAGUUAUUAAAUGUGAUUUUAACAGGUUGAGAA